GACAUAGGUCGCAAACGUUAUCCGGAAUUAUUGGGCGUAAAGGAUGCGUAGAUGGUUCAGUAAGUUACUGGUGGGAAAUCGAGGCCCAACCUCGUGGAAGUUAGUAAUACUGUUGAACUUGAGUGCAGGAGAGGUUAACGGAACUUCAUGUGGAGCGGUAAAAAUGCGUAGAUAUAUGAAAGAACAUCAAUAUGGCGAAGGCAGUUAACUAUUCUGCUACUGACAUUUGAGGCAUGAAAGCGUGGGGAGCAAAACGG
rnacentral:rRNA from 1 species